AACGAACGCUGGCGGCAUGCCUAACACAUGCAAGUCGAACGAGACCUUCGGGUCUAGUGGCGCACGGGUGCGUAACGCGUGGGAACCUGCCCUUAGGUUCGGAAUAACUCCCCGAAAGGGGUGCUAAUACCGGAUAAUGUCUUCGGACCAAAGAUUUCUCGCCUUUGGAUGGGCGCGCGUUGGAUUAGCUAGUUGGUAGGGUAAAAGCCUACCAAGGCGACGAUCGAUAGCUGGUCGGUGAGGAUGACCAGCCCGACUGGGACUGAGACACGGCCCAGAUUCCUGCGGGAGGCAGCAGGAGGGAAUAUUGGACAAUGGGCGAAAGCCUGAUCAAGCAAGGCCGCGUGAGUGAUGAAGGCCUUAGGGUUGUAAAGCUCUUUUACCCGGGAUGAUAAUGACAGUACCGGGAGAAUAAGCUCCGGCUAACUCCGUGC
rnacentral:rRNA from 1 species